rnacentral:lncRNA from 1 species
CUUAAGCUGGGGUAUAUACAAAAGCAUUAUGAACACACAAUUCCUUAUGUAUGAGAACAUACAUACAGAAAAAAAUAUGGCUUUUUCAUUAGUAUAGAAUAAAGCAAAAAAUACCAAGAACAAUUGAUUGGAAGAAAAAUUAUAUUUAAAAAUUUACACUUGGGACAUUCUCUUUCCAAACUCAAAGGAAACCCCAAUUAAUUAUGUUGACUUUCCAGUAGAGAAAAUUUAAUACAGAUAAAUGUACAGCUAGCUACUACAUAUUUAAUUAUACCUUUAACUUUAGGAAGAUAUUUUAAAUUUUAUAAAGUCUUUAACUUUUAUCAGAGCAGUAGUACUUUAAAAGAGCUCAAUGUCCUAUGAAAGUAAUACAAGUAGAAUUAAAACACAAAAGGAUUUUUCACUAGUUUAUGGAUAAUUUAAUACAAUUAAGAGCUAUUAAUAAUACUGGUAAUGGCAAAAUAUUAAUAGCUAAAAUUUAUUAAAUGCUGUGUUCCAGCCAGUAUUCUAAACGUUUUCCCUAUAUUUCCUCCUUUGUCUUUAUAACCCUCUCUACCUUAGGAGUUGGAUACUAUUAUGAUGCCUACUUCCAGAUGACAAAACUAAGACUCAGAGAAUGCAUAUAUCUUUGGGCAAGGAUAGUAUGGGAUGAAGCCAGAUUCCUGACCAGGUUUAUUGAAAUAUAAUUGACAAAAAUUGCUACAAAGGAAAUUAAAUACCUA